rnacentral:rRNA from 1 species
CCUGACUGCUAUCGGAUGAUACUAAGCCAUGCGAGUCUUGUAGUAAUACAAGGCAGACGGCUCAGUAACACGUAGUCAACCUACCCUAUGGACAAGAAUAAUCUCGGGAAACUGGGCAUAAUUCUUGAUAGAUCAUAAUGCCUGGAAUGGUUUAUGGUUAAAAUGAUUCGUCGCCAUAGGAUGGGACUGCGGCCUAUCAGCUUGUUGGUGAGGUAAUGGCCCACCAAGGCGAUUACAGGUACGGGCUCUGAGAGGAGAAGCCCGGAGAUGGGUACUGAGACACGGACCCAGGCCCUAUGGGGCGCAGCAGGCGAGAAAACUUUGCAAUGUGCGAAAGCACGACAAGGUUAAUCCGAGUGAUUUCUGCUAAAGAAAUCUUUUGCCAGUCAUAAAACCACUGGUGAAUAAGGGGUGGGCAAGUUCUGGUGUCAGCCGCCGCGGUAAAACCAGCACCUCAAGUGGUCAGGAUGAUUAUUGGGCCUAAAGCAUCCGUAGCCGGCUUUGUAAGUUUUCGGUUAAAUCCAUGUGCUCAACGCAUGGGCUGCCGAAAAUACUGCAUGGCUAGGGAGUGGGAGAGGUAGACGGUACUCAGUAGGAAGGGGUAAAAUCCUUUGAUCUAUUGAUGACCACCUGUGGCGAAGGCGGUCUACCAGAACACGUUCGACGGUGAGGGAUGAAAGCUGGGGGAGCAAACCGGAUUAGAUACCCGGGUAGUCCCAGCUGUAAACGAUGCAGACUCGAUGAUGCAUUGGCAUAAUAGCCAGUGCAGUGUCGCAGGGAAGCCGUUAAGUCUGCCGCCUGGGAAGUACGUACGCAAGUAUGAAACUUAAAGGAAUUGGCGGGGGAGCACCACAAGGGGUGAAGCCUGCGGUUCAAU